GGGGAACUACAAUAUGAGGCGGGCUGGACCUCUCGGGGUUACAGCCUUGCUGAAUUAUUCACCCUUGUCUUUUGCGUACUUCUUGUUUCCUUGGUGGGUUCGCCCACCACUAGGACAAACAUAAACCUUUUGUAAUUGCAAUCAGCGUCAGUAACAAAUUAAUAAUUACAACUUUCAACAACGGAUCUCUUGGUUCUGGCAUCGAUGAAGAACGCAGCGAAAUGCGAUAAGUAGUGUGAAUUGCAGAAUUCAGUGAAUCAUCGAAUCUUUGAACGCACAUUGCGCCCUUUGGUAUUCCAAAGGGCAUGCCUGUUCGAGCGUCAUUUGUACCCUCAAGCUUUGCUUGGUGUUGGGCGUCUUGUCUCUAGCUUUGCUGGAGACUCGCCUUAAAGUAAUUGGCAGCCGGCCUACUGGUUUCGGAGCGCAGCACAAGUCGCACUCUCUAUCAGCAAAGGUCUAGCAUCCAUUAAGCCUUUUUUUCAACUUUUGACCUCGGAUCAGGUAGGGAUACCCGCUGAACUUAAGCAUAUCAAG
rnacentral:rRNA from 1 species